GUCGUACUCCCUCCGUCUCAAAAUUCUUGUCUUAGAUUUGUCUAAAUACGGAUGUAUCUAGUUACGUUUUAGUGUUAGAUACAUCCAUAUCUAGACAAAUCUAAGACAAGAAUUUUGGGACGGAGGGAGUACUUA
rnacentral:pre_miRNA from 1 species